UUUUGCAUCAUGCUGACUCGAUAUUUUGAGGUAUCUCUUUUACCGAAAAGAUUUGAUUUUUAAAUUAAUUGCAAUUUGUGCUUACAGUCGAGUAGAUUUUAUAAAUUGGUUUAACGUUGUGAAAAAUUAGUCGUAAAUCUUUAUAACUGUUUUACACUAAAGAUUUCUAUUUACCCUUGAGGCAACGAAGUCUCGUGGGUGUAUAUAUAACAUAUUUUUUUUAUUACGAAAGGGUUAAAAUUACCCCAUUGUUAUAUGUUUGUUAUAAAAUUUAUUUUAAAUUUAAGUUAUUAUUUAUAGUUAGUGUAUAAAUUUUACAUUUAGUUUUAUAUAUGGGUCAAUAAGUAAUAUUAACAGUUUUAUUGUUUCUCGAAGUUAGCCCGUCUGUUUAUUAAAAACAUUUCCAUUUUUAAUAUUUUAUGGUAGGACCUGCCCUAUGUUUAUAUAAAUGGCCGCAGUAUCUUGACUGUGCGAAGGUAGCAUAAUUAAUUGCCCUUUAAUUGGGGGCUUGUUUGAAUGGUUUGACGUGGUUAUUUUUAACAUUAGAAUUUUAUUUGAAAUUAAUAAUGAGGGUACAGAAUCCUCUUGAUUUAAUUAGACGGAAAGACCCCGGGAUCUUUCUUUUUUGCCUGGGGCAGGUUAAAUAUUUUCAAAUUUAUUAUGACCCCUGUAAAGGUUUAAUGGUUUAAGUUACCCCGGGGAUAACAGUGUAAUAUUUUAUUAGAGAUCUUAUCGAAUAAAGUGUUUGCUACCUCGAUGUUGACUUAGGUUUAUAUUUAGGCGCAGUAGUUUGAAUAUGUGGUCUGUUCGACCUUAAAUACCUCCAUGAGUUGAGUUAAGACCGGCGUAAGCCAGGUCGGUUCUUAUCUAUU
rnacentral:rRNA from 1 species